rnacentral:rRNA from 1 species
AGAGGGUGCAAGCGUUAAUCGGAGUUACUGGGCGUAAAGGGCGCGUAGGCGGAAUGGUAAGUUACAUGUGAAAGCCCCGGGCUUAACCUGGGAAGGUCAUGUAAUACUGUCAUUCUAGAGUAGAGGAGAGGUAAGCGGAAUUUCCGGUGUAGCGGUGAAAUGCGUAGAUAUCGGAAGGAACAUCAGUGGCGAAGGCGGCUUACUGGCCUCAUACUGACGCUGAGGCGCGAAAGCGUGGGUAGCGAACAGGGAUUAGAUACCCUGGUAGUCCACGCCGUAAACGAUGAGUACUAGGUGUUGUAUUUCGGAUAUCAGUACCCGCAGCAAACGCGUUAAGUACUCCGCCUGGGGGAGUACGGCCGCAAGGCUA